AAAUACUCUCAUAGUUCCAGCUAGCACCUUUUCUCCAAUAAAAUGAUACUGGAUGUCUAUGUGGUCGCUCCGGUCAUGCAUCUCAACACUUCUGCACGUUUGAAAGUCUUCAAGCUUCAUGCAUAAAAGAGAUGUAGAAAUCAAACACCCCCUCCAGUAAUACUUCUGCAUAUGCUAUUAUUUUUUUUUGUCAUCACCCUCUAGUAUGUGCUUCACUCUUAGCAGUCUUUCCCUUGUCAGUUCCUCUUACAAGUCUUAUUAAUCCAUCUUCCUCAAACUCGAAGCCGGUCCAUUGUGUACCUUUUUCCUUUGCUCUCGUCAGAAACUUAGCUCUUAACUUGGCAGUUCAAGCAACGUUCCCUUUCAGCCAGAUUAUUAUCUGUUCAAAAUGGCUGUCUACUUUUCCUUCGAGUUUCCACAAAACCACAGUGCUGGAUUCCAUCUGUACUCGACGUCGUGAAUGCAGGUGAUAAUGUUCCUACCUUCUGUACUACGUAAACAGCAAAUACUUUUCCCAGCUCUGCCAUUAUGUUGUUAAAACCAACAAACGCAUGAGUGAGUAGCUUUUUACUAGACUUCAGCCAAGUGCUUUUAUGCAAGAUCUGAACAUCAUCAUAGACAUUCCGUGUCAUUUUAUUGGGCAGCAGGUUCUAGCUGGAAGUAUGAGAAGUAUUU